AACUGACCUGGCGGAUCACACAGCUAGAAGUGCCACAGCCAAGAUUUGAAUGCUCAGAAUCACCAUAGAGCCAUAUACUCUAUUGCCCCACAGCCCAUUGUGAUGCGAGCUAGCAGAAGAGAGAACAGAGAGAUCCUUUCUAGUAUGGGGCAGUGUGAACGGUGGAGAAUAGAUGGUGAUCACAGGUCACCUCAGUCAGAAGGUGGCCAUCCAGGCAGAAGUGUUUAAGAGGAACAGGAGGUCUCUGGAUGAAGACAGAGGAGGACCCCUCAGGCUAAGAGAACAGCAUGAGAUAAAGCACGAAGGGAUCCUGUUCUACUGUUGGCUGCAAAGGCUUUCUGCGUGCCAUGUACCAGUUUUCCAGAAUCACCACCCACCUCCUGCCCUGAACCAUGAGGCUGCUAGUUCUCAUCCCCGGGGGAAUCUUCAAGCAAUAAACAGCACUACUCAGAGGGCCAAGGCACCCAAGCCCUAAACCCAGGUCAGCCCACUCCUUAAGAUUUUGGAAAAAUCAGUUCUCUUGGGGCUUAUAUUCUUUCAUCUACAAACUGGGUCAAUAUCACAAAACUGUCCGACUACGUGUGCUAAAAGCAGCUUCUACUUGGUCUAUCCAAAUAGUCACAGCACACUUAUUCUGAUUACUUGUUUUAUCUUUUGGCGAACAUGCCAUAAAUACCUGAAAAGCAGCAAGCAUUUCUUAUUUAUUGCGUGUUUAAUAAAUGAACACAAAUAUAAGUGAUUAUUAAAUGAGGUAGGGAAACAGGAUCAGAGAACCUUCUGGCACAUGCCAGGACCAUAACUCAGCACAGAAUUCCGGCCACUGCGGUCCUCCCCAGAGGUCCCAGAGGCAGCCUGAGGAGGGUAAAAGGAUGAUCCUCGUUUGUAACUGAGAAGACUGGACAUGGAGCCCUGUGACUUGUGGUUCUGUAGAAAGACUGUCAUCCUGUCAGGAGCUCAGAGCCCCUUCCAAUAUUCCAGCAGGAACAUACCAGCAGAGGGAAAAGACAUUCCAUGGAAAAUAGCUGCCCACAGAUGGCCUGGGAACUCUGGAAACCGCGGAGUAAGCAGACUACAGGGAUAGGUAUGAAAACCAAGAACAAAGAGUCUAUGUCUACCCUCCAUUUUGCAAAAUAGCACUUGGAGACCAGCUUCCAUAUUCACAAAAGGGCCCCUCAUUCCUUAAUGUAUGUGUGCCUCUCUUCCUCUUGACCACUGCGAACCACUGGCUCUGGGAUCUUGAGAGGAGAGAAGACCACUAAGCCCGACGUCCCACCUGAUUAUAAAUCCCAACCCCCCCCUCCGCCGGUGUCCAUGACAUCUCCAGUGAGGUGGCGACCAUCAUCUCUUACAGCUGCAAAUUCCAUCUUUCCAACAGAAAGUUCUUCCUUAUAUGGAAACCAAGUCCGGCUCCUGGCUUUCCCGUGCCUCAUUCUGCCUCUUCGAACCAUAUGAACAACCGAUGUCUGUUCCAUUGGCUUGGAAUUUUUGUGGGUGAAUCCGGAUACAGAAACAAAGCUGCCCAAGAUCUCAACCCUCAGUCACUCUGGCCAUUUCCUGACCAUAUCACCCUGCUCGCUCCUAAUGUAUCUGGUACCACCUUGAAAUCCAUCCUUUUCAGGCUUUUCCAGGAAGAACUAUUGCUAAGCAGUCUAUUCUGCACAUGGACCCCUGGCCUUGUGGACUCACAAGACGUGCCCUGUGAAAUCCCAGUCCCUGAGAAAUGAGAGGAGAGACAUCUUCGAGACCAUUUCUUCGGCCACAUUCCCACCCUUUGUGGACAGAGCUCAGGGAUGUGGAUCCCAUUCCCGACUCCCCAUUCCUGGUCUCCUGUCCUGCCAGACCUAGCAUUGUCUCCAGGACACAUGGCUGUUCCAAGGAACAUUAAGAGAGAGCUCUGCAGGAAAAGAGGGCCUUGCCAACUCAAACGCUCUCAGAAUAAUAACCAAGCAGCCUGCAGGCAGGACAGCAGUGCCAGCUUGCUGAUCGCAGGGCUGGGAGCUCGUGAUCCCUGACUAACUACCCCGGCACCAUUCUGGAC